rnacentral:rRNA from 1 species
UACCUUUCGUUCCUCGUGUAGGCUCGCCUGCCAACGGGGACCCUUCAAAACGCUUUGUAAUACCUGUAAUUGUCUGAUAUAACAAGCAAAAAUCAAAACUUUCAACAACGGAUCUCUUGGUUCUGGCAUCGAUGAAGAACGCAGCGAAAUGCGAUAAGUAGUGUGAAUUGCAGAAUUCAGUGAAUCAUCGAAUCUUUGAACGCACAUUGCGCCCUUUGGUAUUCCUUAGGGCAUGCCUGUUCGAGCGUCAUUUAAACCUUCAAGCUCAGCUUGGUGAUGGGUGACUGUCCUCCCCUCGCGGGGGGACUCGCCUCAAAAACAUUGGCGGCCGGUACAUUGGCUUCGAGCGCAGCAGAAACGCGGUCUCGAGUCCUCUGAAUCGGCUCCCAUAAGCCUCU